rnacentral:rRNA from 1 species
UUAGUACGGCGAGUGAGCGGGAAGAGCUCAAAUUUGAAAUCUUCAAGGUUUUACCUUGACGAAUUGUAGUUUAAAGAAGUGUUUUCUGUUGAAGUUUUGGUAAAAGUUCUUUGGAAUAGGACAUCAUAGAGGGUGAGAAUCCCGUAUUUGACCAUUAUUUUCAGCUGUGUGAUACACUUUCAAAGAGUCGGAUUGUUUGGGAAUGCAGUCCAAAAUGGGUGGUAAAUUUCAUCUAAAGCUAAAUAUUGGCGAGAGACCGAUAGCGAACAAGUACCGUGAGGGAAAGAUGAAAAGAACUUUGAAAAGAGAGUUAAACAGUACGUGAAAUUGUCAAAAGGGAAGCGUUUGACACCAGUGUUGUUUUCUCGAAAAUCAAUUAAAAAUGGCUGGAUUUUGUGUUGUAUUGACCUUAACAGCUUUCUUCACUCUUUUCCUGUCUUUUUUAAUGCACUUUUCGUUUAACAAGUCAACAUCAGUUUCUUUUGUUGUAAAAGGGUCAUUGGAAGGUGGCUUUCUUUUCGGAGAAAGUGUUUAUAGCCUUUGAUCUCUGCAAUCGGAGAGACUGAGGUCUGCAGCGUAGACUCUUCGGGGUUAGAUACAUUUGUGCUAAGUUAUAGCUUUUUAUAGACAACUUGUUGACUAUAUUUAGUCUUGUAGCUUACUCGCUUAUGCUAUUUUACCUACGCUUAGGAUGUUGACAAAAUGGUUUUAAACGACCCG